AGCUUAUGGAAAAAGUGAUUCCUGUUGUUGAGAAGCGAAGGCCACAACGCAUGCUCCGGAGAGUCAACUCUUUGCAGUGGUAGAUUGUAUGUGCUCGAGGUGAUAAUUCAUAUGCUUCUCAUACAUGGAGGAAAAGCAGCAUCCUCCCGGAAAUUCAUUUUCUAGUGGAUUAGAUUGUGAACCCAAUCGCCAUUUAGAGCAACCGUGGUUAUUUAUUUGGAGAGAAAAAAGAAAAGAAAAGAAGAAUUGCAACCUGAAUCAUAAAGUAAAUUCCUUAA
rnacentral:lncRNA from 1 species